CACCGGAAAAGUGCUUCUAAUAUCCUUCACUGGUCUCUGUCCAGAGCAACGGCAUCUGUUGAUCCAUUUCUUUAAUUGUCUAUGUUUUUAGGCCACAAAG